rnacentral:rRNA from 1 species
CUUCUUUCCCUCCCCUUUUCCCCCCGUUUUAUUAGGGGUUUGGAUCAGGCUCAGGACGAACGCUGGCGGCGUGCUUAACACAUGCAAGUCGAACGAUGAAGCCCUUCGGGGUGGAUUAGUGGCGAACGGGUGAGUAACACGUGGGCAAUCUGCCCUUCACUCUGGGACAAGCCCUGGAAACGGGGUCUAAUACCGGAUACCACUCCUGCCUGCAUGGGCGGGGGUUGAAAGCUCCGGCGGUGAAGGAUGAGCCCGCGGCCUAUCAGCUUGUUGGUGGGGUAAUGGCCCACCAAGGCGACGACGGGUAGCCGGCCUGAGAGGGCGACCGGCCACACUGGGACUGAGACACGGCCCAGACUCCUACGGGAGGCAGCAGUGGGGAAUAUUGCACAAUGGGCGAAAGCCUGAUGCAGCGACGCCGCGUGAGGGAUGACGGCCUUCGGGUUGUAAACCUCUUUCAGCAGGGAAGAAGCGAAAGUGACGGUACCUGCAGAAGAAGCGCCGGCUAACUACGUGCCAGCAGCCGCGGUAAUACGUAGGGCGCAAGCGUUGUCCGGAAUUAUUGGGCGUAAAGAGCUCGUAGGCGGCUUGUCACGUCGGAUGUGAAAGCCCGAGGCUUAACCUCGGGUCUGCAUUCGAUACGGGCUAGCUAGAGUGUGGUAGGGGAGAUCGGAAUUCCUGGUGUAGCGGUGAAAUGCGCAGAUAUCAGGAGGAACACCGGUGGCGAAGGCGGAUCUCUGGGCCAUUACUGACGCUGAGGAGCGAAAGCGUGGGGAGCGAACAGGAUUAGAUACCCUGGUAGUCCACGCCGUAAACGUUGGGAACUAGGUGUUGGCGACAUUCCACGUCGUCGGUGCCGCAGCUAACGCAUUAAGUCCCCGCCUGGAUCGCACGAUUCCUUGAACCUAUUAAGGG